UCCCAGGAGACCUUCGGUCAGCGGGGCCACGGGUUGGCAGCCAGGCCCAGAGAGCAGUGUAGCCUUGAAGGGGCGCGAGCCGCCCGGCCUGCUGGGUCGUGACCCGCCGUGGACAGUGCAUCGGCCCCGAGGAGAGAGGGAGGCGCUGAUUGCCCAGGAUGCCUUCGGUCAGCGGGACCUCGGGGUGCAUGCCAGGCCCAGGGAGCAGUGUAGCCUUGAAGGGGCGCGAGCCGCCCGGCCUGCUCCCUGUCCCGCCGUGGACAGUGCAUCGGCCCCGGGGAGAGAGAGGCGCUGAUUUCCCAGGAGACCUUCGGUCAGCGGGGCCACGGGUUGGCAGCCAGGCCCAGAGAGCAGUGUAGCCUUGAAGGGGCGCGAGCCGCCCGGCCUGCUGGGUCGUGACCCGCCGUGGACAGUGCAUCGGCCCCGAGGAGAGAGGGAGGCGCUGAUUGCCCAGGAUGCCUUCGGUCAGCGGGACCUCGGGGUGCAUGCCAGGCCCAGGGAGCAGUGUAGCCUUGAAGGGGCGCGAGCCGCCCGGCCUGCUCCCUGUCCCGCCGUGGACAGUGCAUCGGCCCCGGGGAGAGAGAGGCGCUGAUUUCCCAGGAGACCUUCGGUCAGCGGGGCCACGGGUUGGCAGCCAGGCCCAGAGAGCAGUGUAGCCUUGAAGGGGCACGAGCCGCCCGGCCUGCUGGGUCGUGACCCGCCGUGGACAGUGCAUCGGCCCCGAGGAGAGAGGGAGGCGCUGAUUGCCCAGGAUGCCUUCGGUCAGCGGGACCUCGGGGUGCAUGCCAGGCCCAGGGAGCAGUGUAGCCUUGAAGGGGCGCGAGCCGCCCGGCCUGCUCCCUGUCCCGCCGUGGACAGUGCAUCGGCCCCGGGGAGAGAGAGGCGCUGAUUUCCCAGGAGACCUUCGGUCAGCGGGGCCACGGGUUGGCAGCCAGGCCCAGAGAGCAGUGUAGCCUUGAAGGGGCACGAGCCGCCCGGCCUGCUGGGUCGUGACCCGCCGUGGACAGUGCAUCGGCCCCGAGGAGAGAGGGAGGCGCUGAUUGCCCAGGAUGCCUUCGGUCAGCGGGACCUCGGGGUGCAUGCCAGGCCCAGGGAGCAGUGUAGCCUUGAAGGGGCGCGAGCCGCCCGGCCUGCUCCCUGUCCCGCCGUGGACAGUGCAUCGGCCCCGGGGAGAGAGAGGCGCUGAUUUCCCAGGAGACCUUCGGUCAGCGGGGCCACGGGUUGGCAGCCAGGCCCAGAGAGCAGUGUAGCCUUGAAGGGGCGCGAGCCGCCCGGCCUGCUGGGUCGUGACCCGCCGUGGACAGUGCAUCGGCCCCGAGGAGAGAGGGAGGCGCUGAUUGCCCAGGAUGCCUUCGGUCAGCGGGACCUCGGGGUGCAUGCCAGGCCCAGGGAGCAGUGUAGCCUUGAAGGGGCGCGAGCCGCCCGGCCUGCUCCCUGUCCCGCCGUGGACAGUGCAUCGGCCCCGGGGAGAGAGAGGCGCUGAUUUCCCAGGAGACCUUCGGUCAGCGGGGCCACGGGUUGGCAGCCAGGCCCAGAGAGCAGUGUAGCCUUGAAGGGGCGCGAGCCGCCCGGCCUGCUGGGUCGUGACCCGCCGUGGACAGUGCAUCGGCCCCGAGGAGAGAGGGAGGCGCUGAUUGCCCAGGAUGCCUUCGGUCAGCGGGACCUCGGGGUGCAUGCCAGGCCCAGGGAGCAGUGUAGCCUUGAAGGGGCGCGAGCCGCCCGGCCUGCUCCCUGUCCCGCCGUGGACAGUGCAUCGGCCCCGGGGAGAGAGAGGCGCUGAUUUCCCAGGAGACCUUCGGUCAGCGGGGCCACGGGUUGGCAGCCAGGCCCAGAGAGCAGUGUAGCCUUGAAGGGGCGCGAGCCGCCCGGCCUGCUGGGUCGUGACCCGCCGUGGACAGUGCAUCGGCCCCGAGGAGAGAGGGAGGCGCUGAUUGCCCAGGAUGCCUUCGGUCAGCGGGACCUCGGGGUGCAUGCCAGGCCCAGGGAGCAGUGUAGCCUUGAAGGGGCGCGAGCCGCCCGGCCUGCUCCCUGUCCCGCCGUGGACAGUGCAUCGGCCCCGGGGAGAGAGAGGCGCUGAUUUCCCAGGAGACCUUCGGUCAGCGGGGCCACGGGUUGGCAGCCAGGCCCAGAGAGCAGUGUAGCCUUGAAGGGGCGCGAGCCGCCCGGCCUGCUGGGUCGUGACCCGCCGUGGACAGUGCAUCGGCCCCGAGGAGAGAGGGAGGCGCUGAUUGCCCAGGAUGCCUUCGGUCAGCGGGACCUCGGGGUGCAUGCCAGGCCCAGGGAGCAGUGUAGCCUUGAAGGGGCGCGAGCCGCCCGGCCUGCUCCCUGUCCCGCCGUGGACAGUGCAUCGGCCCCGGGGAGAGAGAGGCGCUGAUUUCCCAGGAGACCUUCGGUCAGCGGGGCCACGGGUUGGCAGCCAGGCCCAGAGAGCAGUGUAGCCUUGAAGGGGCACGAGCCGCCCGGCCUGCUGGGUCGUGACCCGCCGUGGACAGUGCAUCGGCCCCGAGGAGAGAGGGAGGCGCUGAUUGCCCAGGAUGCCUUCGGUCAGCGGGACCUCGGGGUGCAUGCCAGGCCCAGGGAGCAGUGUAGCCUUGAAGGGGCGCGAGCCGCCCGGCCUGCUCCCUGUCCCGCCGUGGACAGUGCAUCGGCCCCGGGGAGAGAGAGGCGCUGAUUUCCCAGGAGACCUUCGGUCAGCGGGGCCACGGGUUGGCAGCCAGGCCCAGAGAGCAGUGUAGCCUUGAAGGGGCGCGAGCCGCCCGGCCUGCUGGGUCGUGACCCGCCGUGGACAGUGCAUCGGCCCCGAGGAGAGAGGGAGGCGCUGAUUGCCCAGGAUGCCUUCGGUCAGCGGGACCUCGGGGUGCAUGCCAGGCCCAGGGAGCAGUGUAGCCUUGAAGGGGCGCGAGCCGCCCGGCCUGCUCCCUGUCCCGCCGUGGACAGUGCAUCGGCCCCGGGGAGAGAGAGGCGCUGAUUUCCCAGGAGACCUUCGGUCAGCGGGGCCACGGGUUGGCAGCCAGGCCCAGAGAGCAGUGUAGCCUUGAAGGGGCGCGAGCCGCCCGGCCUGCUGGGUCGUGACCCGCCGUGGACAGUGCAUCGGCCCCGAGGAGAGAGGGAGGCGCUGAUUGCCCAGGAUGCCUUCGGUCAGCGGGACCUCGGGGUGCAUGCCAGGCCCAGGGAGCAGUGUAGCCUUGAAGGGGCGCGAGCCGCCCGGCCUGCUCCCUGUCCCGCCGUGGACAGUGCAUCGGCCCCGGGGAGAGAGAGGCGCUGAUUUCCCAGGAGACCUUCGGUCAGCGGGGCCACGGGUUGGCAGCCAGGCCCAGAGAGCAGUGUAGCCUUGAAGGGGCGCGAGCCGCCCGGCCUGCUGGGUCGUGACCCGCCGUGGACAGUGCAUCGGCCCCGAGGAGAGAGGGAGGCGCUGAUUGCCCAGGAUGCCUUCGGUCAGCGGGACCUCGGGGUGCAUGCCAGGCCCAGGGAGCAGUGUAGCCUUGAAGGGGCGCGAGCCGCCCGGCCUGCUCCCUGUCCCGCCGUGGACAGUGCAUCGGCCCCGGGGAGAGAGAGGCGCUGAUUUCCCAGGAGACCUUCGGUCAGCGGGGCCACGGGUUGGCAGCCAGGCCCAGAGAGCAGUGUAGCCUUGAAGGGGCGCGAGCCGCCCGGCCUGCUGGGUCGUGACCCGCCGUGGACAGUGCAUCGGCCCCGAGGAGAGAGGGAGGUUGUGGUAUGCAAGGAUGACUUCAGUUCGUGGGGUGCCAUGUUUGUCCGAAGGCCCAUCACUGUAGACACUUCAAGCAGCAGGAUUAUUGUGCCUCUCUUUUUCUCCUAGUCCCUAGAGAGUUUUACUAUGUAUAGUUGUGUGCCACAUGGCCUGCUCUGUUCAUUCCUGGCCCUUUUAUCUCUUAGGACGGAACCAAGAUGAUACUGGGCCAAAAUGAGGUUUGUAUCUUAAGAUUGUCCUUGAGGUCUCAGCAGUUGUGUCUGAGUUGUGUCUUGGCUGUGAGUAUUGAAGAGUGUAGUGAAGAAUUUCUUGUGAAGAAUUCUCAUACCAGAAAAAGUAUUUGGACAUUCAUGACAGUUUCUACUUCUAGAUCACCUUCUAGUUCCUCAAUGUGGUCAAUUCUGAUAGUUCCCUUAUAGAUGUCAACACAUACAUGUGUAUAUACAUACAUACACAUGGAUACACACAUAUACAUCACAUAUGCUUCCACGUUUAUAACUCCAUGGAGCCUGUUCCUGCUUGUUUUUAACCCCUACCAAUUCUAAUUCCCCAAAAGUAAGCCAUUUCUAUAACAACCUUAUUCUACUUCAACCUUCCUCCCUCCUUCAGUUACUCUUGGCCUCCUUUCUUCUCACUUUUUUUUUUUUGUCCUUCUGAUCUCUGUGUGGUCCCCAAGCAUGCCAUGUACCUUAGUAAGUAAUACAAUCUUUAUUUCUAUCUGUGUAGUUGCUAAUCAUUGAAGGGAUGCAAUCUAUCUUAAAGAUCCUAAAUUAAAAACAAAGAAAAUAGAAGUGUUUCCAAAUUAUAAUUUGUGGCUGCCUAGAAUACCUUGCAUGCAGCAUCUGUUGGACAGGUGGCUUCCUCAUCUCUCAUGAUGCCUUGCCCACCACUAAGCCUUAUCCUUUCCACGAUGCUCCUACUACUUGCCACAAGGAGUGGGGUUUUACAGAUCAAAGUACUUACACAGUGACAUAAUUAGCUUGGCUUGAUUUGUCUUUGUCUGAGAAGUCAGCAAAGAGAUGCUGACUUUCAUGUACAUGGAUGCACAAGGCAGAUUCCCUCAGAUAAUGCCAGCUUGCUCAGUUCCCCUUGUAUUAGUAAAGGGUUCACUGUAUCUGCACAUUCCUGUAUUGGCCUAUGUUGCUUAAUUCCAUUGCCCUCUUGGCUUUGUUAGAGCAUUAUGUGAGGGAAAGGAUUGGUUAGGGGAAUAUAACAAUAGAUGUUGGUGUCUUAUUUUUCUCACAGACUACAACAUACAUUAUUCUGUAAAGAUGGCCUUAUGGAAAUUGAUGACUUAGAAAUAAGUUUAGUUUUCCAAUAGAGUUGGUAGGAGCCCUACUUAGGCUUUACUGGGAAGUAAUAGACAACAUUUUUAUCAUGCUAUAUACAAUUGUGACAUUAUUUUUUAUUUUAUAAUAUUUAGUUUUAGUAGUACAUUUAUCUUGCUAGCAUAGAUGUGCAAAGAUGUGCAUGUUUGCCCACAUGACACAGAGAAGACUUAACCAACAUUCACCAUUCCUAUCUAGUUGCCACACAACACAGAAUAAAUACAUUAUUGUUUCAUUAUGUGUGUAUGUAUGUGAUACAUGUUUAUAGAUGCAUCUGCAUAUAUGUAUGUAUUUCUUCUUAAAAUGUUCAUUUUUUCCUUUCUUUUUUUUCUGUCAGGCGAUGAUAGAGCCCAACAGGGUAGAGAAGUUGUUACUGCCCUUGCUUUAAUCUCAACUAUCAAUUCUAAGAAAUUAGUUGACAGUUUACUUCCCAAAUCUUCAUUCCUAUAUAUGGUCACAUGGAUGUCUUCGACAGGGUGACCACAUUGAGUGGAUUUGCUACAGUUGAUGCCAUUACUUAUAUACCAGCUUCAUCAAAACAACUCUACAGUCUUCUUUAUGCCCGGUGACACCUCUCUCCCUGGGUGGCAGCGGAUUCCUCCUGCAGAUAAGAAAUGCUUAACUGAGAAAUGCUCAUAUUGGGAUAUCACCGUUGAGACUUUAAUUUGGGCAUGGUGACUGUUUCCCUUGCUGCCGCUUGACUCAAUCACAGGAGCCUCAAAUAAAUUGCACAAGAAGCUCAAAAUGGUGGAAGUGCUCAGUGCUCCUAUAAAUAUAUAUUUACCAUUUUUCUUUGCCACAUGAUAAAUUUUUAAAGCUGAUAUAUUCAAAAGAAACUGCAUCAUUUUUCUCAAAAAUUCAAAGAACAAAUAAUAGAAUAAGCUAGGGGCCCUCCUCUCUGCAACUCAAUUGUCAGUUUUCCUAUAUUCAUUUUUUUUUUAGUGUGCAAAUGGACAUGCAAGCUAUUCUGGAGUGGGUAUUUAGAAGUGAACCCAUAUUGUAACACAUUCUUCUGCCAAUUACCUCUUCCAUUUAAGUCUUUUCAGUGGUUUUUUUUCUAUUUCAGUAAUACAUAUACAUCUGUGUCAUUUGUUGAAUGACUGCAUGACUAUUGUGUAGAUAAAAUAUAAUUAAAUGUUUUAUGGAUUUCUCAUUCAUGGUUAUUUAUGUUAGUACCAAAUUUCUGUGCAAUGAACCUCCUUCUAUUAUCAACAAUUUUGCAUUUGUCUAUGAUAUUAAGUUUACCUAGCAACUGAAUUACUGGAAUUAAAGAUAUGAACAUUUAAGAUUUUGAAAA